rnacentral:rRNA from 1 species
CUCAGGGAGGUAGUGACAAGAAAUAACAACACUGGAAAUUUUAUUUCUAGUGAUUGGAAUGAUGGGAAUUUAAACCCCUUUCAGAGUAACAAUUGGAGGGCAAGUCUGGUGCCAGCAGCCGCGGUAACUCCAGCUCCAAUAGCGUAUAUUAAAGUUGUUGCAGUUAAAAAGCUCGUAGUUGGAUGUCUGCUGGAAGCAAUCAGUCCGCCCUAUUUGUAGGGUGUGCACUUGAUGAAUUCUGGCAUCUAUGUCCUAAUGUGAUAGAUACGGCGGUGUAUAUGGGUUAAUCCUAUAUACCCGUUUUUGUAUAUUAUAUUGGGAUAAUACCGUUACUUUGAGAAAAUUAGAGUGUUUGAAGCAGGCUAAUUGCCUUGAAUACUGCAGCAUGGAAUAACAAUAUAGGAUUUCGGUUCUAUUUUGUUGGUUUCUAGGACUGAAAUAAUGAUUAAUAGGGACAGUUGGGGGCAUUCGUAUUUAACUGUCAGAGGUGAAAUUCUUAGAUUUGUUAAAGACGAACUACUGCGAAAGCAUUUGCCAAAGAUGUUUUCAUUAAUCAAGAACGAAAGUUAGGGGCUCGAAGACGAUCAGAUACCGUCGUAGUCUUAACCAUAAACUAUGCCGACUAGAGAUAGGAAAAUGUCAUUUUUCUGACUU